rnacentral:rRNA from 1 species
AGUGAACGCUGGCGGUAGGCCUAACACAUGCAAGUCGAACGGCAGCACAGUAAGAGCUUGCUCUUACGGGUGGCGAGUGGCGGACGGGUGAGGAAUACAUCGGAAUCUACUUUUUCGUGGGGGAUAACGUAGGGAAACUUACGCUAAUACCGCAUACGACCUACGGGUGAAAGCAGGGGAUCUUCGGACCUUGCGCGAUUGAAUGAGCCGAUGUCGGAUUAGCUAGUUGGCGGGGUAAAGGCCCACCAAGGCGACGAUCCGUAGCUGGUCUGAGAGGAUGAUCAGCCACACUGGAACUGAGACACGGUCCAGACGCCUACGGGAGGCAGCAGUGGGGAAUAUUGGACAAUGGGCGAAAGCCUGAUCCAGCCAUACCGCGUGGGUGAAGAAGGCCUUCGGGUUGUAAAGCCCUUUUGUUGGGAAAGAAAAGCAGCAGGUUAAUACCCCGCUGUUCUGACGGUACCCAAAGAAUAAGCACCGGCUAACUGCGU